rnacentral:rRNA from 1 species
GACGAAGGGGGCUAGCGUUGUUCGGAAUUACUGGGCGUAAAGCGUGUGUAGGUGGUUGUCCUAGUCAGGUGUGAAAGCCUUGAGCUCAACUCAAGAAAUGCACUUGAUACUGGGCAACUAGAGGACCGGAGAGGAUAGUGGAAUUCCCAGUGUAGUGGUGAAAUACGUAGAGAUUGGGAAGAACACCAGUGGCGAAGGCGGCUAUCUGGACGGUUUCUGACACUAAGACACGAAAGCGUGGGGAGCAAACAGG